CCCACCGCCUUUUGCAGAGGCGGUGCAUGCGAAGCCCUAGCAUGGUUCCCGGCUGCAUUUUGCAGUUUAUCCCCUCCCAAACCGACCUUCCACACCUAUAUAAGGAGGGGGAGAGGGCCGCACAUUCAUCAUCAUUCAAUCCAUUCAAGCUUCAAGUCCACAAGAAUAAAGAGAGAUACAAGAGUAGUAGUAGAGAGGCGGAGCUUCCACUCAUAUCCUUAGCCUCUAGUUAGGAAUAG
rnacentral:lncRNA from 1 species